GCAAAACGCGAAGAACCUUACCUAGACUUGACAUCCCAAGAAUUCUUACGAAAGUAGGAAGUGCCUUCGGGAGCUUUGAGACAGGUGGUGCAUGGUUGUCGUCAGCUCGUGUCGUGAGAUGUUGGGUUAAGUCCCGCAACGAGCGCAACCCUUACUGUUAGUUGCUACGCAAGAGCACUCUAGCAGGACUGCCGUUGACAAAACGGAGGAAGGUGGGGACGACGUCAAAUCAUCAUGCCCCUUAUGACCUGGGCUACACACGUACUACAAUGGUCGUUAACAGAGAGAAGCAAGCCCGCGAGGUGGAGCAAAACUCUAAAAACGGUCUCAGUUCAGAUUGUAGGCUGCAACUCGCCUACAUGAAGAUGGAAUUGCUAGUAAUCGCGGAUCAGCAUGCCGCGGUGAAUACGUUCCCGGGUCUUGUACACACCG
rnacentral:rRNA from 1 species